rnacentral:lncRNA from 1 species
CACUUACAGACUUAAAUAAUAAUACUGUGGAAAGUAACACUUUCCUCACAUUCUCUCCUGCAGAAGGAACAGAACCUGGAGAAUCAGCAGGAAUAUAUUCAACCGUGAUCAUCUGACCGAUGUCAUUUAAUUGUUCUUUGGAGCGUGCAUCCCGCUGCGCUCAGAUCACCUCCACACACUUCACCUUCAGCAGAAGCCUUGGAGUCUGUGGGACAAGCUGGUCAAGAGAGGGCCGGUGUCCUCCAACUCGCACAGCUGAGAAUCUGCAGGCACCGGAAGCGCUUUGCCAGGGCGGGUUUCGGGGAAAGAACCUCUGCUGCAGAGUAGAACCGCCAGCCAUCGGAACGAGACAGCUGUUGGUACCGGGUGGGAAAAUAGCCACCCUCAACCUCUUUCCUCUCGCCCGGUGAUCUCAACAGCACUGGACAUGCGAGGGCCUCCCAAAGCACUGGCCACCCGAGCAACCAGGUUGCUGAGGAUAAGGCCUCCAAAGCAGGGGCGGCCCCUCCGUGCAUCUUGGAAAACAUUCUGUCUAGGAUUUGGAGUGAAAAAAGUGCCAAACA